GCGCAGCUUUAUACGACCGCAGAGGUUGAACCCUGAACAGUUGGGGCAAGUAUGGACACAACAUUCAAGCUGGAUUCAGCUCUAAAUUUGGAUUGUGAUUAAAUAGUUGACACAGUAUAGGUUUCUGACACAGAAUGAAUGUGGUCUAAUGAACAUAAAAUACUUUUUUUUCCUUUGAGCAAUUCACUAUGCUGUUGAAUAUUAAUCCUCUCAAAAAAAUGUUUGAAGAAAUUUUCUUUUUAUUUAUGAAAUCUG
rnacentral:lncRNA from 1 species